GUGAAGAUUGGCGUGAAGCUUUUUGUGGAUUUUCUAGGGAAAUCGUGAAGAGAAGUGGAUGAAGAUUCAAGGUAAUUGAAUGAAAAUGGAGGUGAUAUGUGAAGUAGAGGAAGAUGAAGGUGGUGAAUGGAAGAUGAAUGAUGAUGAGAGAGAAUGAAGAUGGAUUUCAUGGAGAAUGAAUCCAGAGGCUUUGAAGUGUGAAUGAUGCUGCUAUAUAUCAGGUGCUUAUAAUGCUUUCACAAGGCUGGCUGUAAGUUCAUGGAAGCAAUUCGUGAGCGAUGCUUUGGCAAAGUUCGGAAGAAGAUCGACAUGAAGUUUUAGGAUCAAAGAAGGACAUAGGUUUAGAAAUUUUAGAAUUUAGGAAUUUGAUGUAAUGGGAAUGAUCGAAGUUGUAAUGAACAAAACUUUCCCUCUUUGAGUGAAUUCCCAUACUUUUCUAAA